GCGGCUCACAGCAAUAAAUAACAACAUACUGAGUUAAGCAAAAGUGCAGAUCGGCCCUGCGUCCUACUACUGAUAAGGAAAUAUGUAAGAAAAAAAAAUCAAUCUAAUAUUUUGCAUAAAAUAAGAUUUUAUUUUUUUUUUAAUUUGAUUUAUAUGCCGCCCUUCUCCGGAGACUCAGGGCGGCUUACAAUGCGUUAAGCAAUUGCAGUUCAUAAACAUCCAAAAGUUAAUCAUUCAGGAAAAGUUGUUUCUCUCUCUUCCUUCAGCUUUCCUCAUGUGUUUUUCUUUCAAACAAACACCCCUUUUUGAUUUCCCUUCCCACUAGUUAAAUAAACAAGCAAUCAAAUCAACAUUUUUCUUUGAGGUGUGACAUGUGUGAUAUUUUUCAGAAAUGCUGUGCUAAUGUUGCUUCUAUGCCUCAGUCUCUGGGGUUAUAGGAAAUCAGCAGGACAUGAUGUAGCUCCUCCUAAUGACUAGUUUAGAAACAGAAACUCUUCAUAUGACACUACUCUUUCUGGAAAGAAGAACCGCAAGUUAUUCUUAUUCUCGAAAUAUCAAAUCAACAGUCUCUCUUAUCAGGUCUUGGAAACUGGCUGUAUAAAAACUGCUCAAAAAUUGGCAGAUUUUUUUGCCCCAAAAAAAAGACUGAGGGAAGGGGAGAAGAGCUGCAGUACCACGUGUAGCAUGGUGUUGAAGAAAUCCACCACGAUCAUGGGCUAUUCAUCUCUUGAUUAUAUAAAUUAUUCAUGGCACUUUGAUAAAAAGUCCAUUUCAAAAGAACACAUUCCACUAAUUUCAAGAGAAGACCCAGAUUCACUUUCGAAUCUAAACCAAUUAGAAGAAGACAGAGAUGAUUCUUUAGGAUCAACAGGAUCUGAUGAUUCCUUCUAUUCCUGCGAUUCAAGCAUUCCAUCUAAAAAAAACAAAGAAGUUUUUUUCAACAUUCUGAAACAUUUACUUGAAGAUAAGAGCAUCUUACAAAAAGGCAACGAGGAAGAACGUUGGUGUGACAAUACCAAACUGAAGCUUAAAUAUAUGGGAAGUGAGUGCAAAGCAGUCAUUCUGGAUGGAAAGGGAAAUGAAAUAUGGGAGAGAAUAAUCAAAACAAAAUAUAUUUACCUCAACUGGCGUGGUGAUGAGGGGGAACCUCUUAGCUUAGAGAAUCUCCAAAUUGUGGAGAAUGAAUUGAAAUUCCUUGGAAUUCAAAGCAAGGAAGUGUGUGAUUGCUUCUCCCUGGCUAGAACCAAGUUUAUGAAAGAGCCAAAAUUGGUGCAGGAGAAUAUGAAACUGCAAAUAAUUUGCUGUGAAGUUAUUCUGACCUUUGGUAAAGGAAAGAACUUGGCCGUAGUUCUUUACGAUGGCAUCGAGAAAAUACCAAAGUACAAUAUAGAAAUGGCACAUUGGUAUACCAAGUUGUUCAGAAACCUCAGGUUACUGCCUGCACGUUUGGUCACAUUUUAUAGAAGAGCUUGUACAUUUUUUUCUAAUAUUCGAUCUUCCUUACAACGUCUUUACCAACUUGUAUCAUGGUGCAGUAAAUACAAACAGCUGUAACCAGUAUUUCUAUGAGUUUCUAGUUCAAAUUCACAAGAGGACAGUUCUUUUGUGUUAUCCAUUUUUUGAAAAAUCCUUUAAAUUUCCUCAAUAUUAUCUGUACCCGCUACCAGAAAAAAGGAUGUUCCUCUUUGCUCUUAAAUACUUGGGUUUUUUUUUUUUAAAGCAAAUUGAAGAAUUAAGUAGGAGGAAUUGAACUCUGUAGGCACCACAGCUGCUGUUUCUUCAAAACAGAAGUAGCUAUGUUAAUGGCUUGACUUUCAACGAUUAGAGAUGAGUCAAGGACUACAGAACUACAGAAAAACAGAGUUGGAAGGGACCUUGGAGAUCAUCUAAUCCAGAGGUCCCCAACCAUUUGGACCUCAGGACCACCAAGUUCAUAAUUUUAAAUCCUGUGGACCACUAAUACGAAUCCAGCGUGCCGCUUGCUGAAGUGCCUGGACUCCCAGUGAUGGGAUGGAAUCCUUCAGGCACUCUCCCUCCUCUCUCCUUCUCUCUCUCUCUUCCCCAUCUCUCUCUCUCACCUUUCUCUCUCUCUCCCACUCUUUCUCUCUCAAUCUUUUUCUCUCUCCCUCUCUCUCUGUCUCUCCCACUCAUUCUCUAUCAUUCUCUCUCAUCUCUUUCUCUCUCCUCCCCUCUCUUUCUCUCUCUCUCUCUCUCUCAUCUCAUGGGCCAGCCAGUGUCUUGGGGCUGAGAGGAAGUCAAGAGUCUGCCUGAGAGACCAAGGUGUGCGGAGUACCAAAAGGGCUGGAAAAAACGGCCGUGAGAUUCAGCAAGAGACGAAGCUUCGCUGCCGCUCUGGAAUAUGGAGCGAAUCUCCAUCCCUUGCCCUUCCCUUCUCAGGCCAGGCGAGGAGUGACUGGGAAGGGAGGGUGAGGCGUGGGGACAGCCACUGGUGGGUUCAGCUGACAGGAAGCUACAGCAGGGGGAAGAAACAGCCCGGGGUUGCUGCCACCCAUUGCUUCAGCCCGCCUGCACCCCCCCUUGCAACAUUACCUCAUUCUGGCCAGUGAGGGCUGCGCUGCAAAGUUGCAAGUUGCACGAACCUCCCUCUAGAGUGGAGAUUUACAGCCCCACCAUGAGCUGCCUGGCCUUUCCCAUAUUCCAGAGCUCUAGUCACAGGACUGGCCAUUGCUCAUCCCGGAGCAGCUCCUCCACCCGGGUGCGCCACGGACCACCAAAAUUUUCUCGAGGACCACCGGUUGGUGACCACUGAUCUAGUCCAACUCCCCUGCUCAAACAGGAGAUCCUAUACAAUUUGAGAGAAGUGACUGUCCAGUCUCUUCUUCAAAGCCUCCAGUGAUGGAGCAUCCACAACUUCUGAAAGCAAAGCUGUUCUAUCGGUAAAUUGUUCUCACUGUUAAGAAAUUUUUCCUUAGUUCUAGGUUGCUUUUCUCCUUAGUUAAUUUCCACCCAUUGUUUCUAAGAAAUAAGUGGCAAUCUCUGAACUAGGAGAAAGGCCACAAUUCAUGGCAUCUCACAGAAAUACUUGAAAGCUUGUAUCAGGUUUGUAAAGCUUUCUGUAAUGUCCAUGCAAAUGAUGCUAAAUAGUACAUCCAUUGCAAAGCUAGUAAGAAAUGAUUUUGUUAGCUCCUGUUGUCCAGUUGUGGGCAAGGAAUCUUUUGAUGGCUAUUGCCCAUACUUACUGUAUUUUUUGGAGUAUAAGAUGCAACUUUUUCUCCCAAAAAAGACGGUGAAAAUCUGGGUGCGUCUUAUAUUCCGAAUGUAGCCCCGCCCAGCUUCUCAAACAGAGGUUUCAGAGGCCGAAAAAAGCAUCAGAAAAAAAGCUUCAGAAAAAAAGCCUCCAAACAGAGCUUCAGAGGCUUUUUUUCUGAAGCUCUUUUUCAGAGGCUUUCAGAGGCAGGAAAAAAAAGCAAAAAAAAAAAAAACAAAAAAAAAAAAAACCAAGGCACAGAGCUCACAACCAAGGAACCUGUUGCUAAAAUUCACCUCUGGGGACUGCUGAUUGGGGGUAUUCUGGGAGGCAGAUCCACCUGCCAGACAGCUUUUUUCUUAUUUUCCUUCCCAAAAACUAAGGUGCGUCUUAUACUCUGAAAAAUACGGUAAUAUGAGGGGAAGGGAAGUAUGGCACAAGUGUAUGCCAUCUUACAUAUAGUGGCAUAGCUGGGAAUUUACUUUUUAUUGUUUUCAAACUUGUUAGAACUAUUUCAGGGAUAAUAUUGCAGCUUUUCUUUAUUUCCUGCCUCAAAAUAGUGGGAAAGUAUGGUUUGGAUCUUCAACAAGAAAAGUAGGACUAGAUUCCAUUAAAGGUAUUUUGGGAGCAUCCAGACUUCGACACCCUAUCUGUCCUGUUCUGAACAACUUCCUAUCUUCCAGAUGUAAGUCUGGGACCCUGUAAUACUUUGUGUGCAUUUCUUUGAUUUUAAAUAUAUAGUAUCACAUACGCAAAGAUUUAAGAAACGCUCUAUUACAUUGUGAAAUGAUAAUUUGCAUACCAGCUUCGUUUUAUAAAAAGAAAGAGGCUUCAUACUUUUACCAAUUUAAGAUUCUUGUACCACAAUAUAAUGUCAUUUGCAAAAUGUUGCUUUUGCAUUUUUAAGGGUUUACCAUAAUUAUUUUCACUACUGUCAAUAGCAUUACAAUUUUUGAUAUUUUUAUUGAAAAAAGCGUGACUACUGCUUUUUUCAAUAAAAAUAUCAAAAAUUGUAAUGCUAUUGACAGUAGUGAAAAUAAUUAUGGUAAAAUUAUUACGUAUAUCUUAGUCACCUAUAUCUUAGAUUGUGAGUUAUGUAUAUUACAUGUUUUAAUUUUUUUUGCCUAAGACAUUUUUAAUGGAUUUUAUGUAUACUGAUUGUUUAAUUGAAAUGUUGAUUAAAAUAAUGGCAACAUCC